UAUCCGUAGGUGAACCUGCGGAAGGAUCAUUAUCAUAAAACCGAGGUGCGCGGGCUGUCGCUGGCCUUGUCGGUCGUGCACGCCCGAGCGCCCUCACCCAAUCCAUCUCACGCCUUGUUCACCACCGCGUGGGUCCCUUUCUGGCUCGUCCGGAGGAGGGGCCGGCGUUUUUACACAAACUUUAAGUAGUGUCGAAUAUCAUUUUUUUAGGAUCACACAAACGCAAUACAUCUUUCAAAAACAGCUCUCUUGGUUCUCGCCUCGGUGAAGAAC
rnacentral:misc_RNA from 1 species